rnacentral:RNase_P_RNA from 1 species
UAUGCAGGUCGGAUAAGCGCCGGUUUCCGCAAGGGGCCGGAGGAAAGUCCGGGCUCCGCAGGACAGGAUGCCGGGUAACCCCCGGGCGCCGCUUUAGGGCAAAACCUAAAACCGGCGACAGAAAGUGCCGCAGAAAAGAUACCGCCUCCUUCGGGAGGUAAGGGUGAAAAGGCGAUGUAAGAGAUCACCGCCUUCCGGGCAACCGGAAGGGCAGGGUAAACCUCAUCCGGAGCAAAGCCAAGCAGAGAAGGGUGGUCCGCCCGUGUUUCUCAGGUAGGCUGCAAAGACCCUAUUGGCAACAACAGGGGCAAGAUAGAUGCUUAUCGCCCCGGGAGCCCUUUAAGGGCUUUUGGGGAACAGAACCCGGCUUAUAGACCUGCUUUUUAA